GUUUGUGUCGAGAAGCUGUCAUAAAAUAGCAGUCAACAUUCCAACAGACACUUUCCUCUUUUCUCUCUUUGCGGCAUCCCGACAAAGAAACCCUUGUUCCAAGAUGGUCUGAUUCUCCGGCGAAAUUUGCCGCCGACCUAUCAUUUUUCUCCACCUGUCACCACCAAUCCACUCCCAUUUUCCGGCUAAUAUUUGGUUCUCGUGAAAUUAUAGUGCACCGUUGGCUGAUUCCUGGAGUAGUUCUGUUACGACACAUUUGCACCAUACCUGAUGUCGUUGGCUUCAUUUGAUAAUCUUAUUGUUUGGAAUAAAACUUCAGAAGAAGGAAAACCCGCAUCUAUAAUUAGGUAGAAGCAGACCCGUGAUUUUAGACCAUCCCGUACACUAUUUUAGUGUAGGUGUGAGAUGAAUUUAAAUGAAGAAUCAUUGCCGGUAAGUAUACAACUCGUUUGGGAUUGAGGCUAAGUUGUUGAUGGUGGUGGUGGGAACUUAUUUGUAUUUCUAAACAAAAUUUCAACUGCAUAUACAGUUUGAGCUGAAAAAAGUAGGUGCGAGCUUGAGCUGAAGGCAGCAGGUAUGACAACGUGCUGCCACAAGGCUACAUCACUUUUGAUUGGAGAUGACUCUUUUGCUGCCUCGGAUGCGUGUGUUAGCUAUUUGACAUUAAUGAUAAGUCAAGUGCAAUGAGCUAAGUAAAUUAGUCUUUUGUGCGGAUUUUAAUUUUUAACCCCAUAAUAAAAAUAUGGAGCAACUCAUUCAGACAACCAAGUGUAGGUACAGGUUUGACCUCGUAGUACUUGUAAUAUAGGGCAUCAUGAUAUGAUGAAGGUAACUGGAGGUCCUAUUGUGCUGUUAGUCUUGCAAGGGUCGAAGUUAACUUGUCUUCUCUCUCUCAUCCUCUCUGUCUCCCUCUCACCUACCUCUGUUAUCUUCAUUUUUCUCUUCUUCCCUUGAGCCCUGAUGAAGAACUUGGUUUUUGUCAACCUAAAUCUUAAUGAUAAGUUUCUUUUAGUCCUGAAGCAUGUAAAUGUAAAGCGGCAGGAUAUGGUACUA